rnacentral:rRNA from 1 species
UGAGUAACCUGCCCCAGACUCUGGGAUAACUUCGGGGAAAUCGGAGCUAAUACCGGAUACGAGACGUACCCGCAUGGGUUGUGUCUGGAAAGAUUUUAUUGGUCUGGGAUGGACUCGCGGCCUAUCAGCUUGUUGGUGAGGUAAUGGCUCACCAAGGCGACGACGGGUAGCCGGCCUGAGAGGGCGACCGGCCACACGUGGGACUGAGAUACCGGCCCAGACCUCCGUACGGGAGCAG